rnacentral:rRNA from 1 species
GACGAACGCUGGCGGCGUGCCUAAUACAUGCAAGUCGAGCGGAACUUUUAUUGGUGCUUGCACCUUUGAAAGUUUAGCGGCGGACGGGUGAGUAACACGUGGGUAACCUACCCUGUAGAUUGGGAUAACUCCGGGAAACCGGGGCUAAUACCGAAUAAUACCUUUCUUCUCAUGGAGAAUGGUUGAAAGUUGGUUUCGGCUAACACUACAGGAUGGGCCCGCGGCGCAUUAGCUAGUUGGUGAGGUAACGGCUCACCAAGGCAACGAUGCGUAGCCGACCUGAGAGGGUGAUCGGCCACACUGGGACUGAGACACGGCCCAGACUCCUACGGGAGGCAGCAGUAGGGAAUCUUCCACAAUGGACGAAAGUCUGAUGGAGCAACGCCGCGUGAGUGAUGAAGGAUUUCGGUUCGUAAAACUCUGUUGUAAGGGAAGAACAAGUAGCGUAGUAACUGGCGUUACCUUGACGGUACCUUAUUAGAAAGCCACGGCUAACUACGUGCCAGCCGCCGCAGUAAAAC